rnacentral:rRNA from 1 species
AGUGAACGCUGGCGGUAGGCCUAACACAUGCAAGUCGAACGGCAGCACAGUAAGAGCUUGCUCUUACGGGUGGCGAGUGGCGGACGGGUGAGGAAUACAUCGGAAUCUACUUUUUCGUGGGGGAUAACGUAGGGAAACUUACGCUAAUACCGCAUACGACCUACGGGUGAAAGCAGGGGAUCUUCGGACCUUGCGCGAUUGAAUGAGCCGAUGUCGGAUUAGCUAGUUGGCGGGGUAGAGGCCCACCAAGGCGACGAUCCGUAGCUGGUCUGAGAGGAUGAUCAGCCACACUGGAACUGAGACACGGUCCAGACUCCUACGGGAGGCAGCAGUGGGGAAUAUUGGACAAUGGGCGCAAGCCUGAUCCAGCCAUACCGCGUGGGUGAAGAAGGCCUUCGGGUUGUAAAGCCCUUUUGUUGGGAAAGAAAAGCAGCAGGUUAAUACCCCGCUGUUCUGACGGUGCCCAAAGAAUAAGCACCGGCUAACUUCGUG